rnacentral:rRNA from 1 species
UACGUAGGGGGCAAGCGUUGUCCGGAAUCAUUGGGCGUAAAGCGCGUGUAGGCGGUUCGGUAAGUCUGUCGUGAAAUCCUGAGGCUCAACCUCGGGCGUGCGAUGGAUACUGCCGGGCUAGAGGGUGGUAGAGGCGAGUGGAAUUCCCGGUGUAGCGGUGGAAUGCGCAGAUAUCAGGAAGAACACCGACGGCGAAGGCAGCUCGCUGGGACGGUACUGACGCUGAGGCGCGAAAGCGUGGGGAGCGAACAGG